GCUGGGAAUGGUGGCACGUGCCUGUAGUCCCAGCUACUCGGGAGGCUGAGGUGGGAGGAUCGCUUGAGCCCCAGAGCUCUGGGCUGUAGUGCGCAAUGCUGAUCAGGUGUCUGCACUAAGUUCAGCAUCAAUAUGGUGACCUCCCAGGAGGUCUACCAGGUUGCCUAAGGAGGGGUGAACUGGCCCAGGAUGGAAACAGAGCAGGUCAAAACUCCCGUGCUGAUCAGUAGUGGGAUCGUGCCUGUGAAUAGCCACUGCACUCCAGCCUGGGCAACAUAGCGAGACCCUAUCUCU
rnacentral:SRP_RNA from 1 species